rnacentral:misc_RNA from 1 species
GGAAAAUGGAAGUGAUGGAGCUGGUGAAGGAAAGGGGUCAGAGGAUGUAAAAAUGAAAGUUGAUGUAGAUGCUGAGGAUAUGGAGAAAAAGCAUGCUGAGCUCCUCGCCCUUCCUCCUCAUGGUUCAGAAGUGUACAUAGGUGGUAUUACUCAUGAUAUAUCUGAGGCAGAUGUGAGGGAAUUUUGUGAGACAAUUGGGGAAGUUACAGAGGUAAGAAUAAUGAAAGGGAAGGACUCAACUCAGAACAAAGGAUAUGCAUUUGUUACCUAUAGAAACAAGGAAUUGGCAACCAAGGCUAUUAAAGAGCUCAACAACACUGAACUGAAGGGAAAAAGGGUCAAAUGUUCUCCAGCUCAAGCUAAACAUAAGUUAUUCAUUGGUAAUGUUCCUAGAUCCUGGGGCGAGGAAGAUAUGAGGACGGCUGUAACAAAUGUAGGGCCUGGGGUUAUUACUAUUGAGUUAGUGAAGGAUCCUCUGAAUUCCGGUAAAAAUCGUGGAUUCGCUUUUAUAGAGUAUUACAAUCAUGCAUGUGCAGAGUAUUCUAGACAAGAGAUGUCAAAUUCAGAUUUUAAGCUUGAUGAUAAUGCACCAACUGUUAGCUGGGCAGAUCCCAAAAAUGCUGAAACUGCUUCUUCACAGGUUAAGGCAGUGUAUGUGAAGAACUUG